UACGGGGGGGGGCAAGCGUUUGUUCGGAAUUACUGGGGCGUAAAGGGCCAGUAGGCGGCCAACUAAGUCCGACGUGAAAUCCCAAGGCUUAACCUUGGAACUGCGUCGGAUACUGGAUGGCUUGAAUUCGGGAGAGGGAUGCAGAAUUCCAGGUGGUAGCGGUGAAAUGCGUAGAUAUCUGGAGGAAUACCGGUGGCGAAGGCGGCAUCCUGGACCGACAUUGACGCUGAACGGCGAAAGCUAGGGGAGCAAACGGG
rnacentral:rRNA from 1 species